CAACAGGGAUUGCCCUAGUAACGGCGAGUGAAGCGGCAACAGCUCAAAUUUGAAAUCUGGCCUUCGGGUCCGAGUUGUAAUUUGUAGAGGAUGCUUUUGGCGCGGUGCCUUCCGAGUUCCCUGGAACGGGACGCCUUAGAGGGUGAGAGCCCCGUACGGUUGGACACCAAGCCUCUGUAAAGCUCCUUCGACGAGUCGAGUAGUUUGGGAAUGCUGCUCUAAAUGGGAGGUAAAUUUCUUCUAAAGCUAAAUAUUGGCCAGAGACCGAUAGCGCACAAGUAGAGUGAUCGAAAGAUGAAAAGCACUUUGAAAAGAGGGUUAAAUAGCACGUGAAAUUGUUGAAAGGGAAGCGUUUGCGACCAGACCUUUUCCUGGCGGAUCAUCCGGUGUUCUCACCGGUGCACUUCGCCAGGUUGAGGCCAGCAUCGGUUUCUGUAGGGGGAUAAAAGCCCUGGGAACGUAGCUCCUCCGGGAGUGUUAUAGCCCUCUGCAUAAAUACCCUUACGGGGACCGAGGACCGCGCUUCGGCAAGGAUGCUGGCAUAAUGGUCGUCAACGACCCGUCUUGAAACACG
rnacentral:rRNA from 1 species